CAUUUUUCAAACCGCUACUGACUCGUUUUCAUGCUAAACAGUACGGCUGAGAGGUCAUGUACCAUGUGGUCGACCUUGCUGACGCUGAAGAGGUUUCUGUGUAAAAAUGAUGACAUUGAGACAAACAGACCAGUUCUGGCUGCCGUGGAGGUCAACACACCACUGAUCUACUGGCUGCCCUUCAACGUGAUGCCCAGCCGAUGCCUGACCACCGACGGAACUAGGGCUGCACGAUAAGUCGCAUGUGUUUGUCAGGCGCAUCUCCUCAGUAAUGCCGGUUCCUUGAUUAGUAU